UACGUAGGGGGCGAGCGUUGUCCGGAUUUAUUGGGCGUAAAGAGCGUGUAGGCGGUUCGGUAAGUCUGUCGUGAAAUCCUGAGGCUCAACCUCGGGCGUGCGAUGGAUACUGCCGGGCUAGAGGAUGGUAGAGGCGAGUGGAAUUCCCGGUGUAGCGGUGAAAUGCGUAGAUAUCGUAAGGAAGACCAGUGGCGAAGGCGGGUCUCUGGACAGUUCCUGACGCUGAGGCACGAAGGCCAGGGGAGCAAACGGG
rnacentral:rRNA from 1 species